rnacentral:rRNA from 1 species
AUUGAACGCUGGCGGCAUGCCUUACACAUGCAAGUCGAACGGUAACAGGUCUUCGGAUGCUGACGAGUGGCGAACGGGUGAGUAAUACAUCGGGACGUGCCUAGUAGUGGGGGAUAACUACUCGAAAGAGUGGCUAAUACCGCAUGAGAUCUACGGAUGAAAGCAGGGGAUCGCAAGACCUUGUGCUACUAGAGCGGCCGAUGGCAGAUUAGGUAGUUGGUGGGAUAAAAGCUUACCAAGCCGACGAUCUGUAGCUGGUCUGAGAGGACGAUCAGCCACACUGGGACUGAGACACGGACCAGAGUCCUACGGGAGGCAGCAGUGGGGAAUUUUGGACAAUGGGCGCAAGCCUGAUCCAGCAAUGCCGCGUGCAGGAUGAAGGCCUUCGGGUUGUAAACUGCUUUUGUACGGAACGAAAAGCCCUGGGUUAAUACCCUGGGGUCAUGACGGUACCGUAAGAAUAAGCACCGGCUAACUACGUGCCAGCCGCCGCCGUAA